rnacentral:rRNA from 1 species
UUGCAAACAGCAAUCUGCUCGACGAGGCUGUUGAUAUGAAGGCAC